rnacentral:rRNA from 1 species
GACAGAGGGUGCAAACGUUGUUCGGAAUUACUGGGCGUAAAGCGCGUGUAGGCUGCUCCGAAAGUCGGAUGUGAAAGCCCUAGGCUCAACCUAGGAAGUGCAUUCGAAACUUCGGAGCUGGAGUUCUGGAGAGGAAGGCGGAAUUCUCGGUGUAGAGGUGAAAUUCGUAGAUAUCGAGAGGAACACCGGUGGCGAGGGCGGCCUUCUGGACAGUGACUGACGCUGAGACGCGAAAGCGUGGGGAGCAAACAGG